UACAGAUGCGACUUGUAUGGAAAAUGGUCCUUUAGAAGGAUCUUUCUGCUCACUUUGUGAGGAUCUUUUUUGCUGUAAAGUCUUGGUCUGAAAAACACAAAUACCAUUUAUACAAACUAAAGCAUCGGUCACCUCUCACCGUACUAGCUACAUGUUAAUUAAAGGCGAUUACUAAACUAUAUUCUUUUAAUAUUCUGAUUAUUCUGUUAUUUAAAAAUAUAAAAUAUUUUGACAUUACUAUUUUUGAGUUCUGAUCUCUUGUAUGGUGAUCUAAGGAGGAAUAUUUCCACAGCAGGCAAAGGAGCGAGCGAUGCUUAUGAAAUGCAAUAUCAAUAACACCUGAAUGAAAUGGGAGCAUGUGGAGAUGAUUUGAUCUCUGUCACACAAGGCUAGUUCAGUGGAGACGUGUUGAAUGGAAGACCGGAAUCCUCUGCCUACAUCCUACCGUUGUCAUGAAAAGAGAAAAUAUGCAUUUUUUGUUAAAAAUAAAAGGAAUAACAGUUAAACAAAAAGACUAAGAAUGGACUCAAAAGCAAAGACCUUAUUCAGCAUCCUCAUAUGAUGGGGAAUCUUCAGAGAUUAAAUUCUUGCCCCACUGAGAUCUUCAGAAAGCUGAUCCAUUACCCUGGUGUGGCUUGGAUUUCACUAACUCUGUAGCAAGUUCCUCCACAAAUAUAUUUGUUGACUUAUGUGGGACGGCUGAGAAAAUAAAGGAACUAACUGUCAGGACUAAAUGUAUAUAUCAUGGCCUCAGAAAAGAUGAAAGAAAAAAACGAGACUGAAAUGAAAAGAAAAAACCAGCAUUUCUCCAAGCAGGGCUUUUAACCUAAGAGAUUAGACAAAGACAGAGUGGAGAUUAGAAUAAGAGCUCAGUGAGAGCUGGACAGAAUUAAGUGCAUAAUUUGAAGUCUUACUUUUUUUUAUAUAUAUCUAUACACAUUUUUUUCUACUCUACAUUGCUUAUUGGCAAUAAAAAUAUAAUUACUUUUCUAUAGGAAUGAUAAAGUAAAAUUGGAGGACAAAAUGAAUCUAGGACAGGUAGAAAGUAUAAAGCAAACAUAUAGUCUACAUGCAUAAAUACCUGUUCCUGUCACCGGAACGAAUGCCGACAGUGAAGUGGAAAUAUCCUUCACGACAGUGCUUGUAUUUAGUAUAAGUUCUUACUGUUUUUGCAGAGGCACCUCCUUAUACACUGACGCUGCUGUCACAGCUGUUGUUGAUCACUUCUGAAAGUGAACUGUGGACUUGACCCUGUAGACAGUACACUCAACACAAUAAAGUAUCAGAAAAGGAGGAAAGGCAAUAUCCAAACUUUAAAAAUUUUCUGCUUUAAUUAAAAUCCAACUUUGUAACAGAACAGAAAUUAUUUGAUUUCAUAAAAAUGGUUGACUAAACCAAAUAAGGUGCAAGGGUCAAAAAGUGACUUAUGAAAGUGUGACGCCUACAGCUUCAGUCCCGGGAUUGUUCCUACUACUGAUAAAAUGAGGAACCUACAUAGGCCAAGCUAAGCAAAUAUAAGCUUUGUAAGAUAUUAACUUUAGUUAUUUGUGUUAAUGCAGUGGGACAUAUAUCACUGGUCUCAAUUAAAUUUCUAGUUGUUUUCUUUUUUUUAUAUCCAUGACAUAAUAAAAUUAUGCCACGCUGCCAUUUCUUGAGAAAGACUUAUGCGAAUGUGUCCUUCUUAGCUUUAAAGUAACAAAUACUCUAUUAAUGAGAGUAAUAUUAUUCAUAAAUCUACUGUAUUUAGUUUGCUAUAAACAAGUCCUUCAGUUUUUGUAAUUAAAAACCAGUAACGAGUCAAGCUACACAUUAAAAAAAGAGCUCAUGCACCAGAGGGAAUGGACCUGAGGAAGAUUCUACUAAAAUGGUUUUUGAAGCACCACCAUUAAAGCAUUAAAUGAUUUGUUAGUUGUUACUGUUUUUCUACCCUUUGUUGCUUUCAACUGUCAUUCAAUUCUGUUUCUUGGCAAGACUUUCGAUUGUCUAAAUACUGAAAAGCUGACUCCUGUGCUAUGACAUCAUCUGUUAUAAAUUAGCAUAAUUUGCUAACUUCCAAGUGCCGAGGAUCUGAUGAGCACCUUCUUCAGUGAAUUGCAGCUUGCCAAAUCGUGGGCUGGGUAUCCUAAUGAAGAGGUUAAUUUAUGUAAAUCUGCUUGGCUAUUUUUGCAGCGUAGGUAUAUCCCUGGUUGUUAGCUCAAGAAUGAACUGAAACAGAAAAAAAUGAAAUCAGACAGAGGAAAAGGUAAGAGAGAGGCGGUGGAAGGAAUAGCCAGAGAAGUACCAGUAGAAAAAAAAAAAGUUUUCAGAGGAAUAAGUAAGGGACAAAAACGUAUAGAGUGGAUAUAUAUCCGAGUGUAUCAGAGAGGAUAAGAACAGCCUUUGGACUUACAUAUCUGUAACUUCCUACUUAUCUCAGUGUAUCUUAAGUUCAUAGUGGGAAUGUUCUAGCCUCUUAUUUGUUGAAUCUGCUCGUUUUGUUUCCUUAACUUGUACUCUAAGCUUAUCAAAAUAUGACUUAAACUUGAUAUGAUAGUCAUGAAAAAUGGAAUAAAGUGUAACUUUAUUAUGGUAUACUGAAAAAUAACUAGUGCAAUAUAAGGUAAGACUUUUGCUCCCUUCAUAGGGUCUGGGUUAUUAACACCCAUAUAAAAAUGGGUUGUUAUAGAGGUUAACUCAAAAUGUCUCCCAAGGUUUUGCUGCUCCUUUGCUUGAGGAAUGCUCAGCUUAGAGCAUACAUCCUUCUUUGUUAUCUCAGUAAAGAAAUGAGCCAACAAUGUCAGUGAGUCAGCAAGGCACAUAAAAUAGCUCUUGCUAAAUAAUAAUAAUAAAAAACGGCUGUUGUACUGCUAUAAUGUUGUUACAAAAAAUGUUGAAGGUGUUCUGAGUCUGACUUUUCCUUAUGUUUGCAGCUGAACUGUGUUCAGUUUUCCUAGCUAGUCUUGUUUAGGGUUUUUUGUUCUUGAUUUUUUUUUUUUUUUUUUGUUCUCUGGAUGUUAUAUCCAGAGUCUUUAAUAUUAAAUAUACCGAUAUGUCUUUACCUUUGCUGUCCACAUAUUGUUCCGUGUUUUUACCUGCCUAAGCAAUUAACACAGAUUAAAAGGCAAAAGAUCCUGCCAUAUUUAUUUCUGUGAAAUAUUGGUGGCUUUAUAACUCAGCAGUGGCGUGUUUUUUACACUGAAUCUAACACUGUUGGUCUACAGAAACAAUUCUGAAUAGGAAUUAUAUUUUAAAUAUCAGUUUGAGAUCCUCAUAGGUCAGAAUGCAGAUGAGUCCAAUGUAAAACUUGAUGAUUUCUGUUCUGGCUUAUAUGACAUCAGCUACACAUGUAAUGCUGAGCCCAUCUUCAUAAUGUUAUUCAUAAUGCUUAAAUGCAUUUUUGUGCAAGAAUAUAACAAUAAAUAAUU